GACGAACGCUGGCGGCGUGCUUAACACAUGCAAGUCGAACGGAAAGGCCCUGCUUUUGUGGGGUGCUCGAGUGGCGAACGGGUGAGUAACACGUGAGUAACCUGCCCUUGACUUUGGGAUAACUUCAGGAAACUGGGGCUAAUACCGGAUAGGAGCUCCUGCUGCAUGGUGGGGGUUGGAAAGUUUCGGCGGUUGGGGAUGGACUCGCGGCUUAUCAGCUUGUUGGUGGGGUAGUGGCUUACCAAGGCUUUGACGGGUAGCCGGCCUGAGAGGGUGACCAGCCACAUUAGGACUGAGAUACGGCCCAGCCUCCUACGGGAGGCAGCAGUGGGGAAUAUUGCACAAUGGGCGGAAGCCUGAUGCAGCAACGCCGCGUGCGGGAUGCCGGCCUUCGGGUUAUAAACCGCUUUCGCCUGUGACGAAGCGUGAGUGACGGUAAUGAGUAAAGAAGCACCGGCUAACUACGUG
rnacentral:rRNA from 1 species